ACGAUGGUCGGUGGGCUGGUUUUGGUAAGCAGAACGGGCGAUUCGGGAUGAACCGGAAGCGGGGAGAAAGGGCCCGAGAUUGCGUCGACGCGGAUCCCGAAAAGGGCGUCGAUCCGUCGCGACAGCGGGACGGUGGUCAUGGAAGUCGAAAUCCGCUAAGAAGCGUGUAAAAACGUACCCGCCCAACGGAUCGGCCCCGAAAAUUGAUGGCGCUCGAACGCAACCCUCGAACCCCGCCGACGGAGGCUAGGGGAGGCCCCGUCGAGUAGGCGGACGCGCGGGUCGCUUCGACGCUCCCGCGCGAGCGGGGGCGGAGCGGCCCGUGGUGCAGAUCUUGGUGGUAGUAGCGAUCACCCAGGCGAGAACCCUGAGGGCCGAAGUGGAGAAGGGUUUCUCGAGAACGGCACUCGCUCGAGAGUUAGUCGAUCCUAAGCUGCCGGCGGCAGCCACGAAACGGUCGAUCGGGCGCGAGCCCGGCAGCCACGACCGGGCAGCGAAAGGGAAUUGGGAACCUCCUUCCCAAACCCGGAACCGGAACGAGG
rnacentral:rRNA from 1 species